rnacentral:rRNA from 1 species
UACGGAGGGUGCUAGCGUUGUUCGGAAUUACUGGGCGUAAAGGGCGCGUAGGCGGCUUGUCGCGUCGGUUGUGAAAGCCCGGGGCUUAACCCCGGGUCUGCAGUCGAUACGGGCAGGCUAGAGUUCGGUAGGGGAGAUCGGAAUUCCUGGUGUAGCGGUGAAAUGCGCAGAUAUCAGGAGGAACACCGGUGGCGAAGGCGGAUCUCUGGGCCGAUACUGACGCUGAGGAGCGAAAGCGUGGGGAGCGAACAGG